rnacentral:rRNA from 1 species
UACGUAGGGGUCUAGCGUUGUCCGGAAUCAUUGGGCGUAAAGAGCUCGUAGGUGGUUCGGCAAGUCGGAUGUGAAAUCUCCACGCUCAACGUGGAGGGGUCAUUCGAAACUGCCGUGACUUGAGUACGGUAGGGGAGUGUGGAAUUCCCGGUGUAGCGGUGAAAUGCGCAGAGAUCGGGAGGAACACCCGUAGCGAAGGCGGCACUCUGGGCCGAUACUGACGCUGAGGAGCGAAAGCGUGGGGAGCAAACAGG